UGCCAGCAACUUACAGCCAUAAAUACCAUCAGAUUUAGAAGGUUCUUCACAGGAUUGUUCUAAGGAUUAAAUAAGAGAACAGCUACAAAGCACUUAGCACCAUUUGCAGUACUUAGAAAUCUAUCAGAGUACAGCUAGUACCCUUCCUACUGAUUCUCUGUAUUUUAGUAAAAUCUGAUGAGAAAUCAAUUGCAAACAUAAUUUCUCAUCAGAUUUCAGAUAAAAACCCAAUUCCUUCCCUUGGUUCUCUAAAUCAUGCACAUCUGUCCUCCACCUGCUUCUGAAGCUCCAACCUCCUCCCUCACCAUAUUGCAGCCAUAGUAGCCUUUCUCAUCCAAAUUAUGCCAACUUUCUAUCUCCUCAUGAGAUAUUUGCACCUGCCGUUCCCAGUAACCUCAGGGCUCAGUGCAUGAGUUGAAGCUGCCUUUCUUUAUGUUUUUGAGACAUGGUCUCACUCUGUCACUCAAGCUGGAGUGCAGUGGCAUGACUGUGGCUCACUGCAGCCUUGACCUCCUGGACUCCAGUGUCCCUUCUACUUCAGCCUCUGGAAUGGCUGGAACCCGUCAUGUGCCAUCACAUCCAGCGAAUUUUUAAAUAUUUUUGUAGAGAUGGGGUCUCCCUAUGUUGCCCAGGCUGGUCUCGAACUCGUGGACUCAAGUGAUACUCCUGCCUCAGUUUCUCAGUGAUGGGAUCACAAGUGUGAGUCACCGUGCCUAGCAAAGUUGCCUUCUAAAUUCCUUAACAAAUGUGAGGUUAGGCAUGGUGGCUCACACCUGUAAUCCCAGCACUUCGGGAGGCUGGAGGAUUACUUGAGCUCAGGAGUUUGAAACCAACCUGGGCAACAUAGUGAGACCUCAUCUCUACUUAAAAAGAAAAAAAAAGUUUUAGGCCGGGCAUGGUGGCUCACGCCUGUAAUCCCAGCACUUUGGGAGGCCAAGGCAGGUGGAUCACGAGGUCAGGAGAUCGAGGCCAUCCUGGUCAACAUGGUGAAACCUCUUCUCUACUAAAAAUACAAAACUUAGCUGGGCAUGGUGGUGCACGCCUGUAGUCCCAGCUACUCGGGAGGCUGAGGCAGGAGAAUCACUUGAACCAGGGAGUUGCAGGUUGCAGUGAGCCAAGAUUGCGCCACUGCACUCCAGCCUGGUGACAGAGUGAGACUCCAUCUCAAAAAAAAAAAAAAAGUUUUAAAAGACAAAAAAAAAUGUACACAUUCCUUGAAAAGGGAAGAUAAUGUGGACAAGGUGCUUUGAACAGGCAAUAGGAACAUAACUGGAAGCAAGAUUCUUCUGAAGGUGCUGUAAUGGCUGAGUGGUUAAGACACAAACUUAUCACCUUCAAAAAUUAACUCGUCUUAUUAUCUUUCUUACAUUUUCCUUCGCCCUUCCCACACAUCCAACAGUUAAACUAGUAUCAGGCAGAGUGCAGACCACAGUAAAGAAUCAUCUUCUGAUUUCUUAAAACCAAUGCUAGUACCCCAGUCCAAAAAAUGAAAUCAGAAUCUCCGCAGUGUGGGACCUGGGCAUUAGUCAUUUCAAAAGCUGCUUAAAAAGGUGAUCCUUCCAGAUAUUUCACUUCAAUGAAUCAAUCUUUCAAGAAUAUUCAUUAUAAGUAGGUGUGCAGAGAUAUAUUUUAACACAAGAUUAAAAAGACCUUAUAUAAGGCCACUAGAGCUUUUUUUUCAUUCCACUCUAAUAGCAAGAGUUCAUAUCAGAACACUUUAGGAAUUUAUGUCAGGUCCUAGUCACAGACCUGCAAGAUCAGAUCCUCCCCAAUGGCAUUUUUUUUUCUAAUUUGUUGUAGAGACACGGUCUCACUAUGUUGCCUAGGCUAGUCUCAAACUCCUGACCUAAAACCAUCCUCCUACCUCAGCCUCCCAAAGUGCUGGGAUUACAGGCAUAAGCCACUGUGCCUGGCCCCCCAGUGGCAUUUUAAUCCCUCAACGCCCCUCCCCCCAACACACACACGUUCAUAUAUAAGUAGUGUUGUGGCUCUUAUGUGAUUCUGUUUUUUACAUGCAAAGAUUUUCAAAGUGGCCAAAAACUGGUUUUGCACCUCAACCCAACACCUUCCUCAAGGUUCUCAGAGUCAAAGAAAGAGAAUUUUCUUUGGAGAGUUGUUCAAGUGCUAAGCAAUUUCCACCUUUCUCCCUCACAAGGUGAUGCUCCCUACUUCAAUUUAAGCUUGAGAGCCUGAACUAUGUCCUCUGGAGUCUCUGAGGCCCAAAGGUCUAUACCAAACACAUUACGUACCAGAAAAAAACAAAAGUUGAGACUAGCCAACCAACUGCCUAUCUGAUAAAGAAGUGUCUACCUAGGGAUAACUUACAGUCCCUGGAUCUGUGAAAGCACAGCAUGCACAUUUCAUAGAGAACUGACCUAUAGUCAUACAUAUAUACAUACAUACACAUAUAUAUAUAUAUUUUAGACAGAGUUUUGCUGUCACCCAGGCUGGAGUGCAGUGGCACGAUCUCGGCUCACUGCAACCUCCACCCCUUGGGUUCAAGGAAUUCUCGUGCCUCAGCCUCCCGAGUAGCUGGGAUUACAGGCGCCUGCCACUAUGCCCGGCUAAUUUUUGUAUUUUUAGUACAGACGGGGUUUUGCCAUGUUGGCCAGGCUGGUAUCAAACUCCUGACCUCAAGCAAUCCACCCACCUCAGCCUCCCAAAGUGCUAGGAUUACAGGCAUGAGCCACUGCGCCAGGCCCCUUAUAAUCAUUUUAAUGUGAACUUUGCUAGCUCUAGGACCAAUGAAAGUUUAAGUGAGCAAAUCCCUAUGCUAGAAACCAGGGGCUAAGGAAGAAAUAAAAAAGUAGACAUCUGGGGAAAGGCAUUGCCUCUCAAUGGUUCUUUUUUGUUUUUGAGAUGGAGUUUCGCUCUUGUUGCCUAGGCUGGAGUGCAAUGGUGCAAUCUCAGCUCACCACAACCUCUGCCUCCCAGAUUCAAGUGAUUCUCCCUGCCUCAGCCUCCCGAGUAGCUGGGAUUACAGGCAUGCGCCACCAAGCCCAGCUAAUUUUGUAUUUUAGUAGAGAUGGGAUUUCCCCAUGUUGGUCAGGCUGGUCUCGAACUCCUGACUUCAGGUGAUCCACCAGCCUCAGCCUCCCGAAGUGCUGGGAUUACAGGAGUGGGCCACUGCACCCAGCCUCAAUGUUUCUUAAUCUUGAGCAUGUAUCAUAAUCACAUAGGCUUCUUAAAAUACAGCUUGCUGGGACCUACACCCAGAAGUUUCUGGUUCAAAAGGUCUGGGAUGGAGCCAGAGAACCCUCAUUUAUUUUUUAUUUUUCUGAACCUACGGAUUAUACUAAAACUUUUAUUUCUAGUAAGUCCC
rnacentral:lncRNA from 10 species